CAAAAAACAUCCUGCGUUUGUUCAGCUGCUAGCGCAAUGGUCCUGUGUCCCUCUCUGGUGCAUCUAUGAAUUUUGAUAGCGAUAGUUGCAGCAUACCGCUCAGUCAAUGAAUUUACUUAGGAGAGCUUUCUUGUUUUUGGAAAAAAAAAAAAAAAGUAUUGCAGAACUAACAAAGUAGGCUUUUAAGACAGUAGAGCUGCAAUAUCCAACCUUUAAUACACUCAUGGAGAGAUUUCAUUCAUUAUAGAAUCACAGAAUCAUAAGGAUUGGAAGGGAACUCUGGAGAUCAUGUAGUUCAACUCAACCCUCACACAGGAUGUAUUUGCUUCUUCACCACUUGGUCAUGUCAAAACCUCAGUGCUCAUCAUUAAAUACAGAAAACAGAGGCAAGCUGCCUUUCCCUUUGGAUGUUAUGCAGCAAAUUAGCAAUAUGUAAACAAACUGAAAAAUAUAAGAAGUCAGCAGCGAGUUCCCAUUCACUAAUGUACAUUCCGUACUUCCUCUGUAUCAACAUUUUAACAGAAUAUGAAUGAUUGCCUCCUUUCCUUUCAGGUAGAUGUUGCCAGUUUGUGCAUCAAGACUGGUGCCAAGAACAUGCCCACAGUGUUUUUUGCUGACAGAUGCCCAGGUUCCAGAUGAACGCUUUCUUGUGCUGAUUAAUGACUUGUUGGCAUCAAGUGAUUAGACCAACACAUUUCUUGAAAGAUCUUCUCCAAUGACAAAUGAUCUGUGGUUUCAGUGAACUUUAGAGAGAUUACUUCUCUUUCAGGAGAUCUUCCUGAUCUGUUCAGUGGUGAAGAUGAGGAGGGCAAAGUUGCAGGAGUCAGAAAAGAAGUCCCUGGGCUUGAUGGACACCACAGAAAGCUGCUGGAGGUGGUUCUUUGGUAGAGCGCAGCAGCUGUUAAAAGUAAGAAAGCUGGAAAAGAGAUGUGGCUGUCCAAAUCCUUUCAAUUUUCAUUAUAGUUCAACAGUUGGGAAAUAUUCAUCUCCAAAUGUGUAUGGUGAAGUAGAGUCGAAAUGUUGUGCACUGGUCCAGGCAAAUACAAAAUUAGCAACAGCUAAAGAGAAUCUAGAAACAAUCUUGAAAAAGCUUAUUAUUGAACAGAAGACUGUGUUUACAAGCAAGCACCCAUGGAGCACUUCUGAGGGAUUAUUUGUGGAUGGUUGUUAAUUAUUCUUCUAAUGGAGUAUCUGCAACACAAAGCGCUCUUGAAACAAACAAAGACACCUUUGGUACCUUGGGAGAUGGUGGGUGGAAGGAGUUCCUCUGCUGCAAGCUAAUUACCCUGACUUAUCAAACAAGACUUUAAACGAUUCAAAAGAUGUGGCAUUAACUGAGUUUAGAAGACUUGGGUUGACUCUUUUUUCUUGUGAGUAUUUAGAUCUGGAAUCUCACAACUUAAGUUAUCAAGCAAUAAAUGAAGGCUAGUCAAUUCCA
rnacentral:lncRNA from 1 species